UUUUAAAACAACAAUAUUAUUAUCAAACCUACAAAAAACAUUUGCUCACUUUCCCUAUCUUCCCACUGGAUUAAUAUAUAAAGCAAACCCCAAACACCACCCAUCACCUAGACUUAACAGGUGGUAAUUGCAAUACCAUAAUUCACUUGACAAAGUUAAUAAUGAUUUCUUUGUGUCAUGUAAUAGUCUAUAUUUCAUCUUCCCUGGUUGUAGCUGGUUUGUGUAUGGAAUUGUUUGACAGAUAAAGGUCAAGCCUCUCAGAGAAGGGGCAGCUUUUUCUAAUUCUUCCCAUGGGGUCAUAUGGGGCUGGUCCUAGAUGACCUCAUGGGUCAUCCCCCACUUCUAUGUCUCCCCCAUCUGUAGCUACUUCCAUAUUUGCACUAAAGGAGAUUCAGCUACAAAAGGAGGCCAGCCUUCGGUCUUCGUCGAUGCCUGACUCAGGCAGGCCAGCUUUCCGCGUGGUGGACACCGAGUUCUAAGCCACAGACCGAGGCCCCAGCAGGCAGCGGCUGGAGGGAUGCCACACC
rnacentral:lncRNA from 10 species